UGUUUGAAAGUGUGCAGCACCUCCCCACCCCUCCUCUGCUCCCACUCUGGCCAUGUGAGAUGCCAGCUCCCUCUUCACCUUCUGCCAAAAUUGCAAGCAAGAUCUCAUCAGAAGCAGGGCAGAUGCCGGCACCACACUUCAUAUAAAGUCUACAGAACAGUGAGCCAAUUAAACCUCUUUUCUUUAUAAAUUAUCCAGCCUCAGGUACUUCUUUAUAGCAACAUAAGAAUGGCCUAACACAGGGUCUGUCUUAGGAAGGGGCCCUCGGGCUGUCCCUCUUCUCCCUGGCCCUAGCCCAGGAGGAGGACCAGCAAGAGUAGCCAAGUGAGAAGCCUCUCCAUGAAGAUGCCUUCUGCCAUUCAUUACACACACAACAGCAUCUUGGUCGCAGAUGCUGGGUCCCAGAGAGGACCUCAAGGAGACUUCCCAGGAAAUUACCCACCACUGGACAUUGGACGGGGCAAAGCUGUGGCGUGGAAAGGGGCAAAUCCACAUCCCUCCCACGUGUGCCCACAUGAUUGUCCCCGGGGCUUCCAUGAGCUUGAUGACCCAGACGCUAUGGUCCUGCACAUGUGAGUCUGCGACCUGACAGCUGUGCCUGCUUCACCAGUGUAGAGACUCGGAUCCCCAGGCAAACCCCGGAAGUGUGGAAGAGAAGGGGAGAAAGCCUGUGGAGGGAGCUGGAGGAGCCGUGAUUUCCAGUAACCAUCGCGGGUUAGCUCAGAGGGAAAUGUCCACAGCAGAGAUGACUGUGACACCCGGCACAAGAUUUAAUUCUCAGAGUGAAAACAAGAAUGCCGUGUCUCUGGGAGCCCCCGGAGAAUGACUCAACAGUGACGUCCUACAGCAUGAUUAGCUUUCGCUGAAGGUGAAGACAAUCUUUCAGGAGUGGAGAGAAUAUAACUGAAUGCUUUGUCACAAAUUUACUUUGAUCUCAUGUACCCCGUAAAUACAGACACCUACUAUGUACCAGAAAAAUUAAAAACAAAAAUAACAAAUUCACAUUCCGCUUGUUCAUCCUGAUUCUUCAGGCCUGGCCACUGUAUCAAAGACAACAGAGAAGGCCCAUUGCCUGCCCUCAUGCUGGUUGUUCAGCCCUCCAAGAAUCAUUCUUGAUGCCCUGCAAGUACCAGGCGCUGCGCUAGGCCCUGCAGAUGCGACAACGAACGUAGAUGCUGUCCCAGCCACCCACACUCGCUGCCCGGGGAAGAACCAGAGAUGGGGGUCUUGCUAUGUUGCCCAGGCUGGUCUCAAACUCCUGACUCAAACUAUCCUCCUGCCUCAACCUCCCAAGUGCUGGGAUUACAAGUGUGAGCCACCACAUCCGGCAAGAGAAGUUCUAAGAUGCCCCUGUGGAUGCCUGAAACUGCAAAGAGUACCAAGCCUGACUGCCGCCAAUCAGAAGAAGUUUCUGUUCAGGUCUUCCACCCACAAAUGUAUAAUUAUGCAAAGCAAAGAAUCCAGGAAAGAAUUGCCAGAGAAGGAAUUAAAAAUAAGAUGUUACACGAAAGUAUCCACCUUGAUCCUGAAAGAAAAGAAACCAAGGGCAACAGCAGCAAUUGAACAAUCUUGAGCACAGAAAAUCAGACUCCCUGAAGUCAGUGUGAACAAAGCUAAGCUCAACCACAUAAAACAUUUUAUGUACAAUAAGCUCUCAAUCAAGUAAAUAAAGUUCGUUUAAGUUGUAAUAAAUAAAUAGAGAAAUAAAUAAAACUUUUGAAUUGUUUAUUUGUGGAGUUUUAAAUUUAACAUUUUCAGGCUGUGGCUAAAACUCAGGAUAGUGAAACCACACAUAAGAGAGUACUACUGUUAUCACAUCAGCAGGCAUAUAAUGUUAGUCUCAUUAUUUGUAAACCUAACUUUAAAAAAAUUUUUUUAAAUAUUUAUGG